AGAGUUUGAUCCUGGCUCAGAAUCAACGCUGGCGGCGUGCCUAACACAUGCAAGUCGCACGAGAAAGUGGAGCAAUCCAUGAGUAAAGUGGCGAACGGGUGAGUAACACGUGACUACCUGCCUCGAGUGGGGAAUAACCUCGGGAAACCGGGGCUAAUACCGCAUAACAUCGAGAGAUCAAAGCAGCAAUGCGCUUGAGG
rnacentral:rRNA from 1 species